rnacentral:rRNA from 1 species
UGCAAGUCGAGCGAACAGAUAAGGAGCUUGCUCCUUUGACGUUAGCGGCGGACGGGUGAGUAACACGUGGGUAACCUACCUAUAAGACUGGAAUAACUCCGGGAAACCGGGGCUAAUGCCGGAUAACAUUUAGAACCGCAUGGUUCUAAAGUGAAAGAUGGUUUUGCUAUCACUUAUAGAUGGACCCGCGCCGUAUUAGCUAGUUGGUAAGGUAACGGCUUACCAAGGCAACGAUACGUAGCCGACCUGAGAGGGUGAUCGGCCACACUGGAACUGAGACACGGUCCAGACUCCUACGGGAGGCAGCAGUAGGGAAUCUUCCGCAAUGGGCGAAAGCCUGACGGAGCAACGCCGCGUGAGUGAUGAAGGUCUUCGGAUCGUAAAACUCUGUUAUUAGGGAAGAACAAAUGUGUAAGUAACUGUGCACGUCUUGACGGUACCUAAUCAGAAAGCCACGGCUAACUACGUGCCAGCAGCCGCGGUAAUACGUAGGUGGCAAGCGUUAUCCGGAAUUAUUGGGCGUAAAGCGCGCGUAGGCGGUUUCUUAAGUCUGAUGUGAAAGCCCACGGCUCUACCGUGGAGGGUCAUUGGAAACUGGGAAACUUGAGUGCAGAAGAGGAAAGUGGAAUUCCAUGUGUAGCGGUGAAAUGCGCAGAGAUAUGGAGGAACACC